rnacentral:lncRNA from 1 species
GCUGGAUCAUAGGUAAGUAUAUGUAUAAUUUGAUGAGAAACUGCCUAUAUUAGAGUUUUCCAGAGAAAUGGAACCAAUGGGCUAUGUAUAUAGAGAGAGACGGAGAUUUAUUUUAAGGACUUAGGUCACUUGAUUAUGGAGCCUUAGUAAGUUCAAAAUGGGCCGCGUAGGCCAGCACGCUGGAGACCUAGGGAAGAGCUGCAAUUUGAGUGGGAAGGCAUUCGUCUGGCAGAGUUCCUUCUUGCUUGGGGGAGGUCAGUUUUUGUUCUAUUAAGGCCUUCAACUAGUUGGAUGAGGCUCAGCCACAUUAUGGAGGGUAAUCUGCUUUACUCCAAGUCCACUGAUUUAAGUGUUAAUCUCAUUCAAAAAACACCACAGGACCAUCUAGAAUAAUGUCUGACCAAAUAUCUGGAUACUGUGGCCCAGCCCAUUUGACACAUAAAAUUAACCGUCACACUGCCAAACUAUUUUCCCAAGUGACUGAAACAUUUUGAUUUUCCACCACCAGUAUAUGAGAGUUCUGGUUGCUCUGCCUCCUUGUCAACACUUGGCAUUUCCAGUCUUUUUUAUUUUAGCCAUCCUAGUUGGGUUAUAGAGCUAAUUCAUUACAUUUCCCUAAUAACUGACUAAUGAGGUUGAGAGUCUUUUCAUGUGCUUAUUGGCCAAUCAUAUGUCAUGUUUAGUGAAUGGAUUGUCUUCUUAUUAUUGAGUUGUAAAAGUUGUUUAUAUAUUCUAGGUGCAAGUCCUUUAGCAUGUAUUUAUUUUGCAAGUAUUAUCUCCCAGUCUUUGACUUGUCUUACAGUCUUAACAGUGUCUUUCAAAGGAUAGAAGUUUUUAAUUUUACUGAAGCCCAAAUUAUCAAAUUUUUCCUUUAUACUUUGUGCUUUUGCUGUGUGCUGUUUAAGAAAUCUUCUGUUAGCCCAAGAUCACACAGAUUUUCUCCUGUUUUCUUCUAGAAGUUUUAUAAUUCUAGCUCUUACAUUUAGUCACCAACCUAUUUCAAGUUAACUUUUGUAUAUAGCAAGAAGUAAAUGUCAUUUCUUCUUUUCAUAUAUGACUAUCCAGUUGUUCCAGUACCAUUUUUUAGAAAGACUAUAUUUCCCCAUUGAAUUAUUGUAGCACUUUUGUCAAAAAUCAACUUGUCAUCUAUAGUGCCUCUAUUUCCGG